AUUGAACGCUGGCGGCAGGCCUAACACAUGCAAGUCGAGCGAGCGGCGGACGGGGGAGUAAUGUAUGGGGACUGCCCGAAAGAGGGGGAUAACUACUGGAAACGGUAGCUAAUACCGAAUACUAUCGGAUAACCCAUAUGGGAUUAGCUAGUAGGUUGGGUAAUGGCUCACCUAGGCGACGAUCCCUAGCUGGUCUGAGAGGAUGAUCAGCCACACUGCGACUGAGACACGGCCCAGACUCCUACGGAGGCAGCAGUGGGGAAUCUUGCGCAAUGGGCGCAAGCCUGAUGCAGCCAUGCCGCGUGUAUGAAGAAGGCCCUAGGGUUGUAAAGUACUUUCAGUCGGGAGGCGUUACCGAAAGAGGAAGCCCCGGCUAACUCCGUGCCAGCCGCCGCGGUAAUAC
rnacentral:rRNA from 1 species